rnacentral:rRNA from 1 species
GAUUAACGCUGGCGGCGUGCAUGAAACAUGCAAGUCGAGCGCGGUUCAUGACGGGGUAACCCGAUAUGGAUCUAGCGGCGAACGGGUGAGUAACACGUGAGCAACCUACCUCUGAGACCGGGAUAGCCCUGAGAAAUCAGGAUUAAUACCGGAUGUGGUCACGACGGGGCAUCCCGACGUGCCUAAAGGCGCAAGCCGCUCAAUGACGGGCUCGCGGCUUAUUAGCUUGUUGGUGGGGUAAUGGCCUACCAAGGCGACGAUGAGUAGCUGGUCUGAG